rnacentral:rRNA from 1 species
CUAGUCAAGUCCGCUGUCAAAGCGUGAGGCUUAACCUCAUACAGGCAGUAGAAACUGACCCGCUAGAGGGUGGUAGGGGUAGAGGGAAUUCCCAGUGUAGCGGUGAAAUGCGUAGAUAUUGGGAAGAACACCAGUGGCGAAAGCGCUCUACUGGGCCACACCUGACACUGAGGGACGAAAGCUAGGGGAGCGAAAGGGAUUAGAUACCCCUGUAGUCCUAGCCGUAAACGAUGGUGACUAGAUGUGGCUCGAUUGACCCGAGCCGUGUCGUAGCUAACGCGAUAAGUCACCCGCCUGGGGAGUACGCACGCAAGUGUGAAACUCAAAGGAAUUGACGGGGGCCCGCACAAGCGGUGGAGCAUGUGGAUUAAUUCGAUGCAACGCGAAGAACCUUACCAGGGCUUGACAUCCUGCGAACCCCGCUGAAAGGUGGGGGUGCCUUCGGGAGCGCAGAGACAGGUGGUGCAUGGCUGUCGUCAGCUCGUGUCGUGAGAUGUUGGGUUAAGUCCCGCAACGAGCGCAACCCGCGUCCUUAGUUGCCAGCAUUCAGUUGGGCACUCUGGGGAGACUGCCGGUGACAAGCCGGAGGAAGGUGCGGAUGACGUCAAGUCAGCAUGCCCCUUACGCCCUGGGCGUCACACGUGCUACAAUGGCCAGCACAAAGGGUGCCAGCCAG